rnacentral:rRNA from 1 species
GAUGAACGCUGGCGGCGUGCUUAACACAUGCAAGUCGAACGGGAUCCAUCAGGCUUUGCUUGGUGGUGAGAGUGGCGAACGGGUGAGUAAUGCGUGACCGACCUGCCCCAUACACCGGAAUAGCUCCUGGAAACGGGUGGUAAUGCCGGAUGCUCCAGUUGAUCGCAUGGUCUUCUGGGAAAGCUUUCGCGGUAUGGGAUGGGGUCGCGUCCUAUCAGCUUGACGGCGGGGUAACGGCCCACCGUGGCUUCGACGGGUAGCCGGCCUGAGAGGGCGACCGGCCACAUUGGGACUGAGAUACGGCCCAGACUCCUACGGGAGGCAGCAGUGGGGAAUAUUGCACAAUGGGCGCAAGCCUGAUGCAGCGACGCCGCGUGAGGGAUGGAGGCCUUCGGGUUGUAAACCUCUUUUAUCGGGGAGCAAGCGAGAGUGAGUUUACCCGUUGAAUAAG